rnacentral:rRNA from 1 species
GCGGGGGCACGGGGGGCCUACGGGAGGCAGCAGUGGGGAAUAUUGCACAAUGGGCGCAAGCCUGAUGCAGCAACGCCGCGUGAGGGAUGACGGCCUUCGGGUUGUAAACCUCUUUUAGUCAGGGAAGAAGCGAAAGUGACGGUACCUGCAGAAAA